rnacentral:rRNA from 1 species
UACAGAGGGGGCAAGCGUUGUUCGGAAUUACUGGGCGUAAAGGGCGCGUAGGCGGCCUUCUAAGUCGAACGUGAAAUCCCCGGGCUCAACCCGGGAACUGCGUCCGAGACUUGAAGGCUUGAAUCCGGGAGAGGGAUGUGGAAUUCCAGGUGUAGCGGUGAAAUGCGUAGAUAUCUGGAGGAACAUCGGUGGCGAAGGCGGCAUCCUGGACCGGUAUUGACGCUGAGGCGCGAAAGCCAGGGGAGCAAACGGG